rnacentral:rRNA from 1 species
GGUUAAGCGACUAAGCGUACACGGUGGAUGCCCUGGCAGUCAGAGGCGAUGAAGGACGUGCUAAUCUGCGAUAAGCGUCGGUAAGGUGAUAUGAACCGUUAUAACCGGCGAUUUCCGAAUGGGGAAACCCAGUGUGUUUCGACACACUAUCAUUAACUGAAUCCAUAGGUUAAUGAGGCGAACCGGGGGAACUGAAACAUCUAAGUACCCCGAGGAAAAGAAAUCAACCGAGAUUCCCCCAGUAGCGGCGAGCGAACGGGGAGCAGCCCAGAGCCUGAAUCAGUGUGUGUGUUAGUGGAAGCGUCUGGAAAGGCGCGCGAUACAGGGUGACAGCCCCGUACACAAAAAUGCACAUGCUGUGAGCUCGAUGAGUAGGGCGGGACACGUGGUAUCCUGUCUGAAUAUGGGGGGACCAUCCUCCAAGGCUAAAUACUCCUGACUGACCGAUAGUGAACCAGUACCGUGAGGGAAAGGCGAAAAGAACCCCGGCGAGGGGAGUGAAAAAGAACCUGAAACCGUGUACGUACAAGCAGUGGGAGCACGCUUAGGCGUGUGACUGCGUACCUUUUGUAUAAUGGGUCAGCGACUUAUAUUCUGUAGCAAGGUUAACCGAAUAGGGGAGCCGAAGGGAAACCGAGUCUUAACUGGGCGUUAAGUUGCAGGGUAUAGACCCGAAACCCGGUGAUCUAGCCAUGGGCAGGUUGAAGGUUGGGUAACACUAACUGGAGGACCGAACCGACUAAUGUUGAAAAAUUAGCGGAUGACUUGUGGCUGGGGGUGAAAGGCCAAUCAAACCGGGAGAUAGCUGGUUCUCCCCGAAAGCUAUUUAGGUAGCGCCUCGUGAAUUCAUCUCCGGGGGUAGAGCACUGUUUCGGCAAGGGGGUCAUCCCGACUUACCAACCCGAUGCAAACUGCGAAUACCGGAGAAUGUUAUCACGGGAGACACACGGCGGGUGCUAACGUCCGUCGUGAAGAGGGAAACAACCCAGACCGCCAGCUAAGGUCCCAAAGUCAUGGUUAAGUGGGAAACGAUGUGGGAAGGCCCAGACAGCCAGGAUGUUGGCUUAGAAGCAGCCAUCAUUUAAAGAAAGCGUAAUAGCUCACUGGUCGAGUCGGCCUGCGCGGAAGAUGUAACGGGGCUAAACCAUGCACCGAAGCUGCGGCAGCGACGCUUAUGCGUUGUUGGGUAGGGGAGCGUUCUGUAAGCCUGCGAAGGUGUGCUGUGAGGCAUGCUGGAGGUAUCAGAAGUGCGAAUGCUGACAUAAGUAACGAUAAAGCGGGUGAAAAGCCCGCUCGCCGGAAGACCAAGGGUUCCUGUCCAACGUUAAUCGGGGCAGGGUGAGUCGACCCCUAAGGCGAGGCCGAAAGGCGUAGUCGAUGGGAAACAGGUUAAUAUUCCUGUACUUGGUGUUACUGCGAAGGGGGGACGGAGAAGGCUAUGUUGGCCGGGCGACGGUUGUCCCGGUUUAAGCGUGUAGGCUGGUUUUCCAGGCAAAUCCGGAAAAUCAAGGCUGAGGCGUGAUGACGAGGCACUACGGUGCUGAAGCAACAAAUGCCCUGCUUCCAGGAAAAGCCUCUAAGCAUCAGGUAACAUCAAAUCGUACCCCAAACCGACACAGGUGGUCAGGUAGAGAAUACCAAGGCGCUUGAGAGAACUCGGGUGAAGGAACUAGGCAAAAUGGUGCCGUAACUUCGGGAGAAGGCACGCUGAUAUGUAGGUGAGGUCCCUCGCGGAUGGAGCUGAAAUCAGUCGAAGAUACCAGCUGGCUGCAACUGUUUAUUAAAAACACAGCACUGUGCAAACACGAAAGUGGACGUAUACGGUGUGACGCCUGCCCGGUGCCGGAAGGUUAAUUGAUGGGGUUAGCGCAAGCGAAGCUCUUGAUCGAAGCCCCGGUAAACGGCGGCCGUAACUAUAACGGUCCUAAGGUAGCGAAAUUCCUUGUCGGGUAAGUUCCGACCUGCACGAAUGGCGUAAUGAUGGCCAGGCUGUCUCCACCCGAGACUCAGUGAAAUUGAACUCGCUGUGAAGAUGCAGUGUACCCGCGGCAAGACGGAAAGACCCCGUGAACCUUUACUAUAGCUUGACACUGAACAUUGAGCCUUGAUGUGUAGGAUAGGUGGGAGGCUUAGAAGUGUGGACGCCAGUCUGCAUGGAGCCGACCUUGAAAUACCACCCUUUAAUGUUUGAUGUUCUAACGUUGACCCGUGAUCCGGGUUGCGGACAGUGUCUGGUGGGUAGUUUGACUGGGGCGGUCUCCUCCUAAAGAGUAACGGAGGAGCACGAAGGUUGGCUAAUCCUGGUCGGACAUCAGGAGGUUAGUGCAAUGGCAUAAGCCAGCUUGACUGCGAGCGUGACGGCGCGAGCAGGUGCGAAAGCAGGUCAUAGUGAUCCGGUGGUUCUGAAUGGAAGGGCCAUCGCUCAACGGAUAAAAGGUACUCCGGGGAUAACAGGCUGAUACCGCCCAAGAGUUCAUAUCGACGGCGGUGUUUGGCACCUCGAUGUCGGCUCAUCACAUCCUGGGGCUGAAGUAGGUCCCAAGGGUAUGGCUGUUCGCCAUUUAAAGUGGUACGCGAGCUGGGUUUAGAACGUCGUGAGACAGUUCGGUCCCUAUCUGCCGUGGGCGCUGGAGAACUGAGGGGGGCUGCUCCUAGUACGAGAGGACCGGAGUGGACGCAUCACUGGUGUUCGGGUUGUCAUGCCAAUGGCACUGCCCGGUAGCUAAAUGCGGAAGAGAUAAGUGCUGAAAGCAUCUAAGCACGAAACUUGCCCCGAGAUGAGUUCUCCCUGACCCUUUAAGGGUCCUGAAGGAACGUUGAAGACGACGACGUUGAUAGGCCGGGUGUGUAAGCGCAGCGAUGCGUUGAGCUAACCGGUACUAAUGAACCGUGAGGCUUAACCUU